UACAGAGGGUGCAAACGUUGUUCGGAAUUACUGGGCGUAAAGCGCGUGCAGGCGGCCUUGCAAGUCGGACGUGAAAUCCCACGGCUCAACCGUGGAAGUGCAUUCGAAACUGCGAGGCUGGAGUCCUGGAGAGGAAAGUGGAAUACUCGGUGUAGAGGUGAAAUUCGUAGAUAUUGGGAGGAACACCAGUGGCGAAGGCGGCUCACUGGACCGGUGCUGACGCUGAUGCGCGAAAGCGUGGGGAGCAAACAGG
rnacentral:rRNA from 1 species